rnacentral:rRNA from 1 species
ACGCUGGCGGAGUGCUUAACACAUGCAAGUCUAACGAAUCACUUCAAUCAAUUUCUUCGGAAUGAAAUUUUAGUGACUGAAUGGUGGACGGGUGAGUAACGCGUGGGUAACCUGCCUCAGACAGGGGGAUAACAGAUGGAAACGGCUGCUAAUACCGCAUAAACGCACAGUACCGCAUGGUACAAUGUGAAAAACUCCGGUGGUGUGAGAUGGACCCGCGUCUGAUUAGCUAGAUGACAGGGCAACGGCCUACCAAGGCGACGAUCAGUAGCCGACCUGAGAGGGUGACCGGACACAUUGGGACUGAGACACGGCCCAAACUCCUACGGGAGGCAGCAGUGGGGAAUAUUGCACAAUGGGGGAAACCCUGAUGCAGCGACACCGCGUGAGCCAAUAAGUAUUUCAGUAUGUAAAGCUCUAUCACCACGGAAGAAGAAAUGACGAUACCUGACUAAGAAGCACCGGCUAAAUACGUGCCACCAGCCGCGGCUAAUACGUAUGGUGCAAGCGUUAUCCGGAUUUACUGGGUGUAAAGGGAGCGCAGGCGGAAGGCUAAGUCUGAUGUGAAAGCCCGGGGCUCACCCCCUGUACUGCAUUGGAAACUGGUCAUCUAGAGUGUCUGAAGGUUAAGUGGAAUUACUAUUGUAGCAGUGAAAAGCGUAAAUAUUACGAGGAACACCAAUGGCGAAGGCGGCUUACUGGACGAUGACUGACACUGAGGCUUCGAAGCCUGGGGAGCACACACGAUUAGAUACCCUGGUAGUCCACCCCGUAAACGAGGAAUAUUAGGUGUCGGAAAGCACAGUUAUUCGGUGCCGCCGCAAACGCAUUAAGUAUUCCACGUGGGGAGUACGUUCGCAAGAAUGUAACUCAAAGGAAUUGACGGGGACCCGCACAAGCGGUGGAGCAUGUGGUUUAAUUGGAAGCAGCGCGAAGAACCUUACCAAGUCUUGACAUCGCGGUGACCGGACAGUAAUGUGUCCUUUUUUUCGGAACACCGGUGACAGGUGGUGCAUGGUUGUCGUCAGCUCGUGUCGUGAGAUGUUGGGUUAAGUCCCGCAACGAGCGCAACCCUUAUCCCCAGUAGCCAGCGGUUCAGCCGGGCACUCUGGGGAGACUGCCAGGGAUAACCUGGAGGAAGGUGGGGAUGACGUCAAAUCAUCAUGCCCCUUAUGACUUGGGCUACACACGUGCUACAAUGGCGUAAACAAAGGGAAGCGAGACCGUGAGGUGGAGCAAAUCCCAAAAAUAACGUCUCAGUUCGGACUGUAGUCUGCAACCCGACUACACGAAGCUGGAAUCGCUAGUAAUCGCAGAUCAGAAUGCUGCGGUGAAUACGUUCCCGGGUCUUGUACACACCGCCCGUCACACCAUGGGAGUUGGAAAUGCCCGAAGUCAGUGACCCAACCGCAAGGAGGGAGCUGCCGAAGGCAGGUUCGAUAA